ensembl:lncRNA
CUUUUUUUAAAUCUCAAAUUAUAUUUCUCCCUAAAACUAGAACACCUACAAUAUGUUUCCAUUUUGGUAAUUUGUGUAUUGUUGGAAUUUUCCCCCCAGCUUCAAACAUCCUUUGAAAAUAACACACUUUUUUCUAAAAAUAAGAAAUGGUUCUAAAACGAUAGAGGAAAAAUAUGCUCGUCUAACCAUAUUUUUUUUAGAGAAAAAAACCAAGCUGCUUUAAAAACUGAAAGACAAAGAAAGUAUAUUUCACUAUAAAUUAUUCAUUGCACUCAUUUUGGAUCAAUAUUUAUAGAUAUUCACAUGCUUUUUAUAAAGCUUGGGAGAUUCUUUUAAAUGUCAUAAUUUCCUCCUCAAAGUCAAUGUCAGAAGCACAGCUUAGUACUGGCAAUAAAUGAGCGCCACUUGAGGCACAUGCCCUAUUUUCUCCAUCCUUUAGCAUCAGGGCAGCUUGAAACACUGUGGAUUUCUGCCACUCCAAAACACCUCAUUACUGACCUACUACGUUCUGCCAAGUGGCUGAAUUUUAUAGGAAUAAACAGAGAAACUGGUCGCCCUAACCCCCUGAAUAAGAACAGAAAUGCAGCCACUCAGGAUCAUGGUUCUAAAUAGCAGAAUUUGGAGUAAGUAGAAUUUGCAUUCAAUCCCAUGAACCCACAGUAAGCGAGCAAUGAAGGUUCCUAGAAAGCCUGGUUGUGGGGGGCCCUGCUUACACUUCACAGCUUUCUGGAGAACCAUUUCCUGCCUUUGGUUUGCUGGGGACAAGUCUGAAGAAGAGGUUUAGAAGAGAGAGGGGGUCAAAUCAGAGAAUGCCCUGCCAAUAUCAAAUAUCAUCUGCGUCACUCCUUUCAUGCUCCCAAGAGCUCAGAUUUCCCUACUGUGAAAAGAUCAGCAACUACAGGGCUCUCUUCUUAGGCCGUUUGCCAGGAGCAUUGCUGCAGUGACAGAAAAACGGUUUUCAAAAGCUGCCACAAUUAAUUCACCUAUCUUCUUUAGGAACCAAAAAAAUUUCCUCCUUGCACCAUCAGAAAAACAUUGUUUUUGUAUCUUCCUCAUUUUUUGUUUUUGAUUACCUGCCCUUCCUAAGGCAAAAGAAUGGGAAAGCAAAAGAAUUUUGGAAAUUCUAAGCAUAGUAAAAAGUCAAAGAAAUUAUCACCGUUAUUCUUACUGACUGCACAAACAAUUUUCUUUUCUGUUACGUUGAAGAGAUGGGGCCAAUGAAAUUGUAUAAUUGUGAAUGGUUUUGUAGGAACCAAAAAUAAAGUCUAAAUCUGAAAAUGUAGGACGUAGUGCAGCCAGGUACCCUCAUCUGGGUCUUGCAAUUCUUGCUUGUCCUGUGUCACAAAUGGGUGCUCCCAAAACAAUGGUUGGACUUUCAAAGGGCAGCAGAAUUCAGCAACAAGGCCAGUGUUUACAUUGAAUGCCACCGUGAAAAGGUCUUGCACCCUUUAUUCUUGAUCUUAAAAUAAUCACUUCAUUCAAAUGGCUCUUUUCAAUAAACGCAUUGCCUUCCAAGCAGUAACAGCAAUUCAGUCACUGACUUUACUAGCAUUUGUAAUCUGGAAUUUUUUUUAACGAUUUUAGCUGCAGAAUGCUUUGGUAAUCUUCAGGUUGAAGGGUGUUACAUCACUGUGAGAAAUCACUAAUGCCAAAUAAUAAGUUUAGACAAAAAGCACUAUAUGCAAACCUUGAUACAUAUCAAAAGAGUUACAAAAGCCCUUCUAGAAAAUGAUUGAUGGUAAUCUGAGCACGAUUUUUCUUGAGCAGGGUACGGGCCACACUUUAGUGAAUAAGGAACAAAGUAUUUCCGUUGUAUUUAUUAUUCCAAUAUACAGACCCAUCCCAAAUUUCAGCUGUUUUUUUCCUCUUUCUCAAUCAAAACCACACCAGCUUGGGGCCAAUGCCAAUACACACACUUCCUAUCUUUGUUUGAGGCUCCCUGCAUCUCCAGAGAGCACUGAUGUAGUCCAGCAUCUUGCUUGAAGCCUGCAGCCGUUUCCUCAGAGUCUUCCUUACAAGACUCCAAUGCUUCAGUGACUUUCUGCAUCAGCAGUUCCAUCUUUGGGGCACGAAGAUUGAUUUUCUUUCUUCCUACAAGGCAAAAGUCCAGAGUGUGUGCCCCCCGCCUCCUACCCAGAGGGACAGACAAUACAACCACCAGGAUCAACUUGAAAAACUCGUCCAGGGGGAGCCUUCCCACCACCUCUGUGCUUCUUACUAGGUUAAGUGCUCCAUAUAUCAAUGAAGGCGAGCCCCGCUAACCCGAGUUCCCACAACAGCUGCGUGCCGUAGUUAUCUGUUUCUGAAUUUUUGUAACCCUCCAUGGCUCCUGCACAGAAAGUCUGCACACAGCAUUUCAGGGCAUGCGUGAUCAUUCAGAAUGGAAUUUUGAAAUGGGGGCCUGAAGAUCACAUCUUGGUCUAGGGUUGCAUUAAAAAUAACAAGGUAUCUGAUUGGUUAGGAAAUCAUGAAUGUGGCCAUACAUCUAUGUGCACCUUACCAAUGUUAUUUAUGGUUGUUUUUAACACUCAAACUGCCUCAAUGUGUUAAUAGAUUGCUUAAAAAUAAAAGUUUUCAUAUUUCAGAACUGGGAAAAUUCCCCUUUUAAAGCAGGCUUAAGAGUCUCAGGAACAUAUUUGAAUUUUUAAUUGAAAUAGUUGGGGAAAGGGAAGGGCAAAGUUUAAUGAGCCUCAACAAUACAUCUCUUUGCAGAGGGAUUACGUUCUGCGCUUUAAGAAAGUACUUUUCCAUUUUACGCAGAGGAGAUUGAUGGUAGGACAAGGCAGUGGAGGUAAAGAGAUAAUAUGAACACAUGUGAAGUAGACCAACCAGAUUCCACAUUUACCAGUAAUGUGGACCUACAAACUUAUUUAAAGAGCGUGCGUGAAAUAAUGUUAUGUUGUUUAUUAAUAUCACAGAUUUAAGAGUAACAAUAUGUUAUGUUUCCUAAGCUCUACCUCUAUACAAAUAAAAUAAAUAGUAAUGAUUAGAAAGACACAAACUGGAAAGGCACUCACGUUAUUUUAAUAGAAACUACACUAUGAUCUUAGCUAGGAAGGGCAUUGGUCAUUUCCUCAUUCGCAACUGACUACUACAGUUUUCUAGAAGAAAAUGGCAAAAACCUCCAAAUCAUCCUUUGAAUAACAAAUUAAGCAAAUAAAUGUUGCCUUGAAUCAAGGUAUGAAAAUUGGCUAUUUCACUUUUUCGAAAUCAUCCAUACAGUUAAUUGACAUUUGAUUAUACUGGCAUGAUACUUCAAAUUUUAAAAAUUAAAUUAUUACCAUGUGGUCUGUCUUUGAAACCAUCCAUAACACAUCUUUAGAAAAAUAAAUGUGAUACCAUCUGAUGAUAUAUUAAAUUGUGAUUUGUUUUAUUCACAAAGUGAUUUAUUUUAGUCUAUAUUUGCUUUCUAUGCUAUAUCAACCUUAAUAUUUUCUGAUACAAGUUGCCAAAUAAAUAUUCUUUAUCAACUCAAAUGCAUAGCAUGUGUUUGCAUCCUGUUUAUCAAGACACGCUUUAUGAAGUCCCUCACAUUUUCGAAAGAACCUAUUGAAAUAAAAUUUGAAGAAAAUGUCCACAAAUGAAGAAGGAGAGAACUUAGCCAAUGUCUGGAGAUUUAAAUGUCAAAUUCAUAUCAAAAUUUCUCAUGAUUAUAUAAAGCCACAUAAUCUUAUAAAGAAAAGUGAGUACGUUUAUCUUUAAUAAUACAAAUAAAUAAAAGAGCAGCAGAGAUUCACAGUCCCUCUAUGACUUUCAUUAACAGAAAUCUGGCAAGCAAACUAUUACAAGUAGUGUUGACUUAGCAACAUUUUUUUUUUUUUUGGUGGUAGGGAGUGGUGAUGAAAAGGGCAGAUUAGAAUGAUAUACGUCAAAUAUUAGUAGCCUUUUAAGAAGCCAUCGCCCAUGGCCCUUAACCCUUUACAGAUGGCAAAUCAGGUGCAGAGCAAAUGAAAUUAAGAUGAUACUUUGUUGACAGGAGCAAGCAGAUUCCGUUUUCAUCCCUACAGACAACAGGAAUGACAUCACAUCUUUUCAAACUGACAUGUUAAUGAAUUUAGCAACACCUGAACUUUUCUGGCACUGGACACCUUUGACCCAGAUUCCUAAAUGUCAAGGAGAGGCCCAAGACGUCUCAAUCUCGCUUAACGCAAACGGGAAGCCAAGGGUUUUUAAAGGUGAAACAGAUCUUGCUAAUGAAGCGGUAUCACUCUUCUUGGGGCGUGCAGCUUGUUAGUCCGAGUGAGACACUGUUAAAAAGGAGCUUUAAUGGAAACUAUUCAAACAGACGAGCCAUGAAACUUUUGUUCAAAGAAAAAUGUGUUCUUUAUGGGUUACUUUCCUAUCAUGUUGAAUCUUACGGUUCCUGGGGUUCAGUUCUUUUUGUUUUGGAGUCUUCAUAACUCCAAUGACCUGCAAUCAACUUCCAUCUUGAAUAAACUUUCCAAAUGUUUAAUGAGUGUGUAAUUUACUUUUACUAGCUAACUGGCCUUGGUACACAGAGUUUUUAAAGAUCCAAAGCUACCUCUGAUAAGAAAGUGUUGGAAAACCCAAACAAAAAAUAUUUGUUUUCUUAAGAAGGAAUUCAUAAAAACCAUGGUACUGGAUUUGAAUACAAAAGUGCUAUGCAUAAGUUUUCACAAACACACCACUUAUAAAAUGUAGCAUCAGUUUAUCAAGAAAAAGUUGGCUUAACGCUGCACUUACCCUUAAGUUAUCUAGAUUGCUGUAGCUUAGGUUCUUUGUGUAACACAGGGUUAGUUUUCAUCCACUGGAAACACGCCGGACUUGAAACCUUAGCAGGACAGUAGAUGCUAAUCCAGGGUAAAGCCUGAAGGAGGGAAACAGUAUAUAUUAAGAGAAAGCCUUAUGAUGAUCAUGGGAUCAAAACCAAACAUACUCUUAUCGAUGAUUCUUUGGGUUAGAGUCAAUCCAUGGAAAGCCCCUCACAAUCCCAGAAGUUUUCUGGGACAUGUCCAAC